rnacentral:rRNA from 2 species
GGCAUCUUCUUGUUUUUAAAAGACCUAGCAAUAGGUAUGCUUAGGGAGGAGCUUGCGUCACAUUAGUUAGUUGGUGGGGUAAAGGCCUACCAAGACUAUGAUGUGUAGCCGGGCUGAGAGGUUGAACGGCCACAUUGGGACUGAGACACGGCCCAAACUCCUACGGGAGGCAGCAGUAGGGAAUUUUCGGCAAUGGAGGAAACUCUGACCGAGCAACGCCGCGUGAACGAUGAAGUAUUUCGGUACGUAAAGUUCUUUUAUUAGGGAAGAAUAAAUGAUGGAAAAAUCAUUCUGACGGUACCUAAUGAAUAAGCCCCGGCUAACUAUGUGCCAGCAGCCGCGGUAAUACAUAGGGGGCAAGCGUUAUCCGGAAUUAUUGGGCGUAAAGGGUGCGUAGGCGGUUAAAUAAGUUUAUGGUCUAAGUGCAAUGCUCAACAUUGUGAUGCUAUAAAAACUGUUUAGCUAGAGUAAGAUAGAGGCAAGUGGAAUUCCAUGUGUAGUGGUAAAAUGCGUAAAUAUAUGGAGGAACACCAGUAGCGAAGGCGGCUUGCUGGGUCUUUACUGACGCUGAGGCACGAAAGCGUGGGGAGCAAACAGGAUUAGAUACCCUGGUAGUCCACGCCGUAAACGAUGAGUACUAAACGUUGGGUAAAACCAGUGUUGAAGUUAACACAUUAAGUACUCCGCCUGAGUAGUACGUACGCAAGUAUGAAACUUAAAGGAAUUGACGGGACUCCGCACAAGCGGUGGAUCAUGUUGUUUAAUUCGAAGGUACCCGAAAAACCUCACCAGGUCUUGACAUGCUUCUGCAAAGCUGUAGAAACACAGUGGAGGUUAUCAGUUGCACAGGUGGUGCAUGGUUGUCGUCAGCUCGUGUCGUGAGAUGUUGGGUUAAGUCCCGCAACGAGCGCAACCCUUAUUGUUAGUUACCAGCACGUAAUGGUGGGGACUUUAGCAAGACUGCCAGUGAUAAAUUGGAGGAAGGUGGGGACGACGUCAAAUCAUCAUGCCCCUUAUGACCUGGGCUACAAACGUGAUACAAUGGCUGUUACAAAGGGUAGCUGAAGCGCAAGUUUUUGGCAAAUCUCAAAAAAACAGUCUCAGUUCGGAUUGAAGUCUGCAACUCGACUUCAUGAAGUUGGAAUCGCUAGUAAUCGCGAAUCAGCAUG